AGGCACUGUUCCGACUAACGUAACGUUUGUCCUGGAGACCAUGGUGGUUUGUUCACGCUAUGUCCUUAUUGUACGCCGAGCCGCCGUAGAAAAGACUCGUCCCGGGUGCUCGCACCGUCACCGUGUGCAGGUUUUGCGCGCCAGUCGCCCUUGUUCUGAAUAAUCAACGUCCCAACUCCACGUUUAUGGUUUACGCUUCAAAUAACUGCUGCUGCUGCACGGAGAACUUCGUCUCGCAGUAUCACCAUGCCUGCAUUUUGCUCUGCGUACGGCUGUACGAGCACCGCCGGCCGAGACGAUAUUCUUGCACAGCCGCUCUCUGGAAACGGAACCAUUGGUCAAGCGCCAGGGCCAAGUCAAUGUUGCAAAACAGAUCCUGAUGACGUCGCAGCAGAUCCAGUAUAUGAUGCAGCAUGGGGCCUCACUCUCCAGUUGGGAAAAGCCGUAGAAACAUCACCAGAGCCAGCGUGUGAGCUGCGUCACGUCACAGAUAAAUCCGUUCAAGUGCGACUACUAAUCCACCAUGAAGCAUCACAAGCAAAUGAAAAGAAAAUUCUGUCAACAAGUGCUACGCAAACAGAGCCUCAAGCUGUUUCUUCAGGUUCCUUGUUUGUUGAGUCAUUGGAGCAGUCUUCCUCACUAGCGUCUGUAAAAGAUCAACACCAUUCCUGCCAACAGGGCAGCUGUUUGACCCUGAAGAAGUCGACUAUGAACGGACACCUUCGGAAACAUAUGGACAAGCCCCUCUUACAGUGCCACUUGUGUUCAGCUGCAUUCGUUCACAAUUCCAAGCUCUUGGCUCAUGUGCGCACCCACACAGGAGAGCGCCCUUUUUCCUGUGUGCACUGCAAUGCAUCCUUUUCAAUGAAAGGCUACCUCGCAAGACACAUCCGUACGCACACAGGACAGCAUCCCUUUUGCUGUGUCGACUGUAAUGCAUCCUUUACGCGAAAAGACAAACUCAAUGAGCACAUGCGUACUCACACAGGAGAGCGUCCCUUUUCCUGUGUCCACUGUAAUGCUUCCUUUAUGCAGAAAGACAAACUGAGUCAGCACAUGCGUGCUCACACAGGCGAACGUCCCCAUUCCUGUCUUUAUUGCGAUGCAUCCUUUUCCCGGAUAAACCUACUCAAUGACCACAUGCGCAGUCACACAGGAGAGCGUCCCUUUUCCUGUGUCCACUGUAAUGCAUCCUUUAUGCGAAAAGGCACCCUCAAUGGCCACAUGCGCAUUCACACAGGAGAGCGUCCCUUUUCUUGUGUCCUCUGCAAUUCUUCUUUUUCGCAGGAAGACUCUCUCAAUGACCACAUGCAUACUCACACAGGAGAGUGUCCCUUUUCCUGUGACCACUGCCAUGCAUCCUUUUCGCGGAAAGACCAACUCAGUGACCACAUGCGCACUCACACAGCUGAGCGUCCAUUUUCCUGUGUCCACUAGCAAGAAUGACACGUAGGCAUGGUAGGGACGAGAAGAAGUAAAAGGGAGUGGGAACCAAAGGCGAGCUUUUCAUUGGUUUUUGGUUUUAUUGCUAGUGCAGCUGGGCACCCACUAAUGGGCAGAGAAGGUACCCCAACCUGGCGUUCAGUGUUGUGUGUACUCAUUUCUCGUAAAAGUAGCUUCUAUCUAACUUCUUUCACUUCCGUUUCCCCUUUCACGAACGAUGUUGAGCCAUGGUUCCUUAUGGUUGGAGAAGUACAUCUGUUAUUCUAAAUCACUGCUACUUGAGUAUUGACACUAAUGAGCGCCAGGACGGCAUAACUCUCCUUCAGAAAAACAAGAUUGGCUGCAUAUCUGCGUGCUUCCCUGCAAAUGUCGUCGAAAGACGAUAGUCUUCUGCCAUUUAUGUUUUGCCUUGCCUCAGACAACGUCUUCUCUAUGUUGAACCGGCUGCAUCUGGCUGGCAUUGAUAAAAUAGAGGAGGCGCUGUAUGAGAUAUGGACGCCGUUUGACAGUGGCGUCGGGAGACAUGAGCUUGGGCAGAAGCUAGGGCGACUGCCAGGUGGCAGCACCAUUUCGUCCGCAAAUGGCUUUUUUGUGCACAGUUGCAAUUUCAGUGCAGCUUAAGAAACACAGGGUCUUUAGAAUUGUGUAUCUAUGUAUUUUCUGGUAAAGGAACACACCAUAUAAUACUUACGUGUUGGUGUUGCACCUCAAAUAUGUGUAGUAUUUGCUUUUUGAUCAACAGUGUUCACAAGUAUGAACGCAGCUACCAGUUCAAGACUGCUGGGCAUUUAGCAAGUGCUUAAACUUUGUCCGGGUGGCUGAAUCGUGUGACAGACAGACGGACCAAAAUUUUUCCGUUCAAGUAUCCCAAGAAAGACUAUCAUCUUUAAAAACUAGUGAGUGUCCACAGGCACUGGGAAUCGUGCCUUGUGCCUCCGACUUUGGAAGCAGGCCCUCUGAACACUUCAUCAUACUGGAUUAUUAGAAGUGAAUGCAAUGGAGGAAGGUCAAGAUCCAGUGCCUAUAGGGAACCAGCGCUGGAGUUUCCGCGGUGUUGGCAGUGCCGCCUUGGCGGUCAAAGCGCGCAUACUCCAGCCGCUCCUGCAGACGAGAGUGGCGGCUGGUUGAGGCGAUGCGGGCGCGUAUCGCCAAAACAAAACAAAAGGAUGCUGGCGGUACUGUUGCGCAUUCAAGUGCCACGAUACGUAGAAAUGAGGGAAGACGUAUCCUUCUAUGCUUUUCCUUCUAAAACAUAUGAAUAGUAACGGAUGCGCCGUUACAUCCCGGCAGUCAGGCGAGCACAGUAUGCCCUGCUCUUGCUCCCCUGUCUAGUGGCGUCGGGUUGGUUUCUAAACCGAAUUGCGCGUGUCUGCAAAAUUUAUUCGAUAGUGAAGGCCAUCAGGGGAAACCGAGGCCAACGAGCAGAAUUUAAUCGGUGUUUUGUCGUAAAUAAAGCCUACAUAUUAUGCAGCAUGCG